AAAAUUUUAAGUUAAAAAAACUUUUAAUCUUCAAAAUUAAUAUUAUAUUAAAUCAAUAUAAAUUUUA
rnacentral:tRNA from 1 species